UUUUGGCUCUGGCCUCUUGGCGUCAAUGCUUGUCUGCAUCCUGUGGCUGUGGUUCAGGCUGUCCGGGGACUCCCUUUCCUGAGACACAGAGGUUCGUCCUUCGGGAUUUUUGCCACCAUCAGCACUGUGGGAGAAGGACAAGGAAGAAAUCAACCCAUGCUUUCUCCCGCCCUGAAUGGCUAACGGCUCUCUGGUGUUUCAGACCGCAGUUUUUCGCAGCAGUACCAGGAGGUGCCGAGGACUGAACUGGGCAGGUGGUGAAUUCAGCCCUGAAGUAGCUGAAAGAGAGAAAAGUUCAAGCGUUCUUGGACGGAAGCACCCAGUAACAUUCCUAGGCAGCGAGACAGUUCCACUGCGCUUUCAGCUUCACAGCAUCCCGCUUAUCUCUCUGCCUUAAGCACAGCAACCAUUUUUUAAAAAAUUAAGCUAAGCAGCGUUAUUAGACUUAUAUUAGCUGCUUAAAGGUUCACUAGAUCUGUUAUCUCUGAAUUGGAGUUAGUUAUGAAAUUCCAUCUUUUUUGGUUAGGUUUGGGCCUUAAUUAAUUUCCCAGGAGAAAACCUUUUAAAGUUAUUAUGCGAAAAGAAAAAAGGAAAGAAAAAUGCAAAGAUCGUUUUUUGAGGAGAACGUUACUUCUUUCCUUCCCCCUCCCCUCAUUUUCUUUCGUUGCUCAUGAACUGCAGUGUGUAUGUUGGAAUUGCUGCAAACUGGAUACAACCUUCUCUUCUGAUCACUGCAUUCUUUGCUUUGAGAUCAGGGGACUGGGGACGUGCAGCAGGUCGAGCACUAGAAGCUGGGACUUCAAGA